rnacentral:rRNA from 1 species
GAUGAACGCUGGCGGCGUGCUUAACACAUGCAAGUCGAGCGAGAAGUGAAGACGGAAACCUUCGGGCGGAAGGCUUUAUUUCGAGUGGCGGACGGGUGAGUAACGCGUGGGUAACCUGCCUCAUACAGGGGGAUAACAGUUGGAAACGACUGUUAAUACCGCAUAAGACCACAGCACCGCAUGGUGCGGGGGUAAAAACUCCGGUGGUAUGAGAUGGACCCGCGUUCGAUUAGCCAGUUGGCGGGGUAACGGCCCACCAAAGCGACGAUCGAUAGCCGAGCUGAGAGGAUGACCGGCCACAUUGGGACUGAGACACGGCCCAAACUCCUACGGGAGGCAGCAGUGGGGAAUAUUGCACAAUGGGGGAAACCCUGAUGCAGCGACGCCGCGUGAGUGAAGAAGUAUUUCGGUAUGUAAAGCUCUAUCAGCAGGGAAGAAAAUGACGGUACCUGAGGAAGAAGCCCCGGCUAACUACGUG